UACGGGGGGGGGUAAGCGUUGUUCGGAAUUACUGGGCGUAAAGGGCUCGUAGGCGGCCAACUAAGUCAGACGUGAAAUCCCUCAGCUUAACUGGGGAACUGCGUCUGAUACUGGAUGGCUUGGAUUCGGGAGAGGAAUGCGGAAUUCCAGGUGUAGCGGUGAAAUGCGUAGAUAUCUGGAGGAACACCGGUGGCGAAGGCGGCAUCCUGGACCGGCAUUGACGCUGAGGCGCGAAAGCCAGGGGGAGCAAACGGG
rnacentral:rRNA from 1 species